rnacentral:rRNA from 1 species
GAUGAACGCUGGCGGCGUGCUUAACACAUGCAAGUCGAACGAAGCACUUUAUUUGAUUUCCUUUGGGACUGAUUAUUUUGUGACUGAGUGGCGGACGGGUGAGUAACGCGUGGGUAACCUGCCUUGUACAGGGGGAUAACAGUUGGAAACGGCUGCUAAUACCGCAUAAGCGCACGGCAUCGCAUGAUGCAGUGUGAAAAACUCCGGUGGUAUAAGAUGGACCCGCGUUGGAUUAGCUGGUUGGUGAGGUAACGGCCCACCAAGGCGACGAUCCAUAGCCGACCUGAGAGGGUGACCGGCCACAUUGGGACUGAGACACGGCCCAAACUCCUACGGGAGGCAGCAGUGGGGAAUAUUGCACAAUGGGCGAAAGCCUGAUGCAGCGACGCCGCGUGAGCGAAGAAGUAUUUCGGUAUGUAAAGCUCUAUCAGCAGGGAAGAUAAUGACGGUACCUGACUAAGAAGCAC